CCGCAUUAUGACAAAUAUCACAACCAGUCGUCGCCUCCCAACUGCAGAACAACUGCUCUCUGUUUAGACCAAUCACCUGCCAGGUAGAGUUGGGAUGCCCCCCCCCCCCUACCUAGGAAGACAGGUAGCAUUAUGGGAAGUCAGUGUAUGCCUUUUAAAGUGGUUUUUCAACAUCACAUCAGUACUAAUCUUGUGUUUUGUAACCCAAAAUAAAAGAGCGCUGUAGAGCGCUGUUGGUCAGAGUGCUGUUGUUCAGAGCGCUGUAGAGCGCUGUUGGUCAGAGCGCUGUAGAGCGCUGUUGUUCAGAGCGCUGUUGUUCAGAGCGCUGUUGUUCAGAGCGCUGUAGAGCGCUGUUGUUCAGAGCGCUGUUGUUCAGAGCGCUGUUGAGCGCUGUUGGUCAGAGCGCUGUUGGUCAGAGCGCUGUUGGUCAGAGCGCUGUUGUUCAGAGCGCUGUUGUUCAGAGCGCUGUAGAGCGCUGUUGGUCAGAGCGCUGUUGGUCAGAGCGCUGUUGUUCAGAGCGCUGUAGAGCGCUGUUGGUCAGAGCGCUGUUGUUCAGAGCGUUGUUGUUCAGAGCGCUGUUGUUCAGAGCGCUGUUGUUCAGAGCGCUGUAGAGCGCUGUUGUUCAGAGCGCUGUUGGUCAGAGCGCUGUAGAGCGCUGUUGGUCAGAGCGCUGUUGGUCAGAGCGCUGUUGUUCAGAGCGCUGUUGUUCAGAGCGCUGUUGGUCAGAGCGCUGUUGUUCAGAGCGCUGUAGAGCGCUGUUGGUCAGAGCGCUGUUGGUCAGAGCGCUGUUGGUCAGAGCGCUGUUGGUCAGAGCGCUGUUGUUCAGAGCGCUGUUGGUCAGAGCGCUGUUGUUCAGAGCGCUGUUGUGCAGAGCGCUGUUGUGCAGAGCGCUGUUGUUCAGAGCGCUGUUGUGCAGAAUCCUAGCAGGACAUCAGGAGGAGCGGACCUCAGACAGCAGCAGGGAACUCAUCCAGACGGGGGAAUGGCCUCACAAAGGAAGAGCCACAGCCUUAAUAAUUAAUUCAUAAUCCGCUAUCACCAUAUCUAUAAUCAUCUGCUUUAGCAGAAUUUGUCAUCCUUAUGCCCAUUAAAGCCUCAAAAAGGGACGAUCUGAUGUCCAAAGAUGGCUCUGAUGAAAGAUCUUUUGUUUGUUUGUUAACUGACUACCAAACACAUGCAAUAGGAUAGAGAGGGAGACUGAUAGCUAG
ensembl:lncRNA